GCCGGAGUGGUGGAAUUGGUAGACACAGGGGAUUCAAAAUCCCCCGCUGGCAACAGCUUGCCGGUUCAAGUCCGGCCUUCGGUACCA
rnacentral:tRNA from 2 species